GGAGUACUGUGGGUUACCACUGGAGGGGUUUGAGCAGAGCCAUGGCAUAUACUGAUCUACGUGUAUGUGUUUCUAAGCAAAACUUCUUGGAAGAAAAGGAAAUUCUUAGAAGCAAUUAGAGUAUCACACCCAUGCUAUACCCUUUGAUUCAUUAGCUUGCUCUGUUUUUCUGUUAUUUUGAAAUUACCCAAGUGGAAGCAGAAAAACUGCCAGGAAAAUGUCACAGCCACCCCUUACUGAACAGCAGAAACACCAGCAAAACACCAACUGCAACAUGGUGUAUUUUGAAGGUGAGAUUAAAUUUACCUACACCUAGAGAAAUAAUUGGAGCACAUGUCUAUUUGGGCCAAGAGGAUAAAGGCCAGUAGAGGAAUCAGAUCAAAGAACUUCCUCAGGGAAGUGUGCAGAGAACUGGAGUGGACCUUCCCCUAGGAAGCUGCCCAAAACGAGAGUGCUGGAAAGCUGGCCGCAGUGAGGCACUUCAGAUCCCAAGGGUAUGCUGGGGAAGCUGCCACAGGUGGGAGCACUUGCUGCUGGACCCUAGGCACUGUUGAAACAACUGCACCAUCUGCAGGAGCCCAGCAAGCCAAAGCCAGGCAUCCCAUCUGGAGAGAGAGAAGACUGAAGCAGAAACACAAUGGGAAGGAAGCAAAGAUGGAGGUAGAAUAGCUGCCACGAGCCCUGAUAGUUUCAGGCCUUGACUGCAUGUCCUUAGGAUCUCAGGCUUCUCUGUUUUUCCUUUGGGUUCCAUGAAAAACCCCGAUAUUUUGGUAAUAAACACCCUUGGGUUGCUUUGCCUG
ensembl:lncRNA novel transcript